CACCAAAGUGUGGAGAUCCUUUACAGAAAGUCCACCAAUUUCAAUGCAAAUCUUGUCCAAAAAAACCCUCACAGAAACAGUACUUAGAAUAUAUCCCGCAAAUCACCAAACUAAUUCUUUUCGACUUAAGUAAUGAAAUAAUUCAGCUCAAAAGGCAUUUUGAAAGUUUAAAAUUUAUGUAUUUAUUAUGUGUUUAUUACACGCAUGGCCCUUUGCUUGGUCCGGCCUUACACAGGUGAAUGAAAUAGAUUUCCCCCGCCAUAGUCAUAGAGCUUAGAGUUUAAUGGUAAGAUAAACAGAUUAGUAAUAUCACAUUGUGAUUUUCAUGUUGCACAUGAAAAAAAAAACAAAUUAUCUCUCCUUAGGGUCACAAUUAUACAUCUAUGGUGCUUUUUGUUCUCUUCGUAAUGCUCACCCUGUAACUCCUUUUCUAAAAGUUGCUCCACAAAGGCCUCACUUAUGUUGAUCAAGACCUCAACACUAUUGCUUGUUGAUUUGGAUGAGUUUCUCUCACGCCCAGAGCCUCAACUCUUCAUUUCUAAAGUGAGCGUCAUAAUUCCCAUGUCAUCACAAUAGGAUGGUAAUGUGAUUAACAUAAAGAUAAAAGGUUUUCGUGGCAAUGGUUAGGAAACUUACCAAGACACCAAGAACAGAGAGCAGUUACAUAAAGCUGGGGUUAACACAGGUUUCAGAGGUGCAGGUAUGGCUUCUCAUAUUCCCCCGGGAUUCCAGUGGAAUGGUGCAGUUUCCGGUGACCCUGCCUGAACAGAAAAUGGUCCUUCUGAAUUCUGUGAAGCCAAAAGGAAAAAAUAUUACUUGAGAAGUGAAUUGGAUGCUGAAUCAGAAAGUGGUUUCCAAGAGGAUAAAUGAUUACAUCGUCCCAGACUCCAGCAGGAUGGCUGAAGCUCUCUGUAGUCUUAUUUAUGGCCACAGAAAACCUUUACUAAAGGAGCCAGGGUUUGGCCACCCUCCUAAUAGAAAGGCACUAUUGUUCAGGUGGGCUUCUUAUGAAUUAGGAGGUAUCAUCUCAGAUAGGCAAAGGCAGCCCCUCCUCUAGGUUUUUCCUAAGCAACUCCCCAAGCUGGAUACCUUAGUUCUUCUGUAGCUUCCACUCGGAAAAUGAUGCCCUUCUCU
rnacentral:lncRNA from 1 species